AGCAAAGAUUGAAAGAAAAAGAUAAUAAUUAAUUUCCGAAUCAAUUUCCGAAUCCCAAGAUGAUACACUAUUGUAUUUUGUCUGCGUCACUUUCACUCCCUGUUCUCUUCCAAUUCUUCAAUCUGAGAGAGAGAGAGAGAGAGAGAAUGGCCUUUAAUCUGGAAUCAUCGACAGAGGCAACUUCAGGAGCCAUUGGAGCACUGGUGAGCACUACCAUACUCUACCCCUUGGAUACCUGCAAGACCAAGUACCAAGCCGAAAUUCGAGCUCACAAUCAGCAAAAGUACAGGAACACUUCUGAUGUGUUUUGGGAAGCAAUUUCUAACCAUCAAGUUCUCUCACUGUACCAGGGCCUUGGGACAAAGAACCUGCAGUCUGUCAUUUUUUCCUUUGUCUACUUCUAUGGAUACAGCUUCUUUAAGAAGCUAUACUUAAAGAGAAGUGGAUCAAAAUCUAUUGAAACAAAAGCUAAUUUGGUUCUUGCUGCCGCUGCUGGGGCUUGUACGGUUGUGGUGACGCAGCCUUUGGAUACAGCAUCAUCAAGGAUGCAAACAAGUGAAUUUGGGAAAUCUAAAGGACUCUGGAAAACCCUUUCAGAAAACACUUGGAGUGAGGCAUUUGAUGGUCUAGGCAUUUCUCUUCUUCUGACAGCAAAUCCAUCUAUCCAGUACACUGCUUUUGAUCAACUUAAACGGAGACUACUGAGGAGGCAGCUAAGCAAGAAAAGAGGUACAGAACCAUCCUCGGAAGCUCUUUCUGCCUUUUCUGCUUUUGUGCUGGGUGCAGUCUCAAAGUGUAUUGCCACCUGCUUAACUUAUCCGGCUAUCAGGUGUAAGGUGAUGAUUCAGGCUGAAUCAGAUGAAGAUGAGACCAAGGAAGAUCAACCGAAAGCCCAAAAGACAGUCUCAGGUGCAAUCCAUACGAUUUGGAAAAGGGAAGGGCUACUUGGUUUCUUCAAAGGAUUACAGGCUCAGAUUUUGAAGACUGUGCUAAGCUCGGCAUUGCUUAUGAUGGUGAAGGAGAAGAUCACAAAAACCACAUGGGUUUUAAUGUUAGCACUUCAAAGGUAUCUGUCAAUAACCAAGACCAGAUUAAAGAACGCUUAAAUGAACCACGAUAAGAGGGAUUCUAUGCAACGACUCCUUAUAAAGAAAGAGACUUCAUUCAAGGUAAUAAUAUCAUAGAUUUUAGAGCUUUGCAAGGCUUUCUAAAGGGCAUGUAAAAACUAUUGACAUAAGAAGAAACUGAGAUAUGGCAUGUCACAUACAUAUUGUCCUCCUCUUGACUUUCCUUUAACACUUAACAGCACACGACUCUUCAAGAUUGGAAAGAAAACUUCAAAAUUUCAUCAGAGAAAAGGUAAAAUUUGGGAACUUUCUACUCUUCCUCCUAUGCUGGAAUGAGAAAAUCAUCACUCUAUAUCACUCAGAAAAGCAAAUUAAGCUACUGAAAAUGUUUGGUCAAAGCCCUCAACUCACAACAAGAAGAAAAAGCUCAUAGCUAAAGACAUCCACUGCCAGAUUAGACCAACCUUGGAAACCAAACCCACUGAGUUGUCAGCAGCCGCAAAGCUUCCUCCAGGAGUGUUUGUGCUCAAAACAACAACCCAAUUAUCUUCAGAACCAAUACCGGCUCCUGUAAACUUGGUGUCAUUGAGAAAGUCAGAAUGCUGAGACUCUGUGAAGUUAGCAAGGACAAGGCUGGGAACCAGGUUGGGAACGCAAGCGGGCAAUAUUGCACAAUCCUUUGUUGUCUUGACAUUUAAAUGACAUUUGGCUAGAAGGGUGGGGUAAUUGGAGAAUUGAGGUUCGGCACCGGGUACUGUAAUAGAGCCUGUUGUGUAAAUUCUUGAAAUGUAAAUUCUUAUGGUUGGUCAUGAUGAAGAUUGCUCUGUCUACUAGUUAUGUUCAAGCUCUGGUUUUGGGGUUCCAACAUUAUAUCAUGACUCUAGGUACUUACGAUCUUGAUUCCAACUAUGUUUGUCAAUCAAAUGGGUGGUGGCAAUGUUGAGAAGGCUAAGGUGAUACAGACCUUACUCUUUGUUUUAGGGUUCAACACAUUGUUACAGUCCUUAUUUGGUACCCGACUUCCAUCAGUAAUUAGUGGUUCAUACUGCUUUAUUGUUACAGUUUUAUUUGUUUCGUUUUUAUUCUUUCUGUUGGGGAGUAACGCUUCUAUUCUUGACUAUGAACCUACAAAAAUAACAAUUUUGCAAAAAAAUGAACAAUGAUUUUGAGUCA